GUGGGAGGGGCAGGGAGUGAAUGGGUUUAGUGUGGGGAGGGGGGCCGGGAGUGAAGGGAUUAUAUUGUGUAACCCCUUCACUCCCUGCCCUCCCCACACUGUAACCCCUUCACUCCCUUUCCUCCCUAAUGUAACCCCUUUACUCCCUGCACUUCCCCCAUGUAACCCCUUCACUCCCAGCCCUCCCCCAAUGUAACCCCUGCCCUCCCCAC